GAGACACAUCUGUAAAGUUCAACGUCUAUCGGGACUGAGACAGCGGAGAUGGAAGGAAAAAAGACAACUGGUGCAAUCCAGACUUUAAACUUAACUGUUUGUGAGUGCAAAAAUGUAUUAGAGAUGAUAUUCAAUGGAAAACUGGAUCAUUAUCCAUGGAGAAAGGAAGUAAAAAAAAAAUUGCAGAUCUAUGGGGAUGAGAUGCUGUUGCUAAUGUGGAGCAAAUAAGAGGGAACUAACGUGAGGAGCCUGGGGGACACUGGAUGUAACUGUGUGAGAGCAGGAAGAGAAGCCAAAGAUGCUUUACUUACACUUGGAUAGGAACAGAACUGGGUGAGAGCCAUCCUUUGAACUGGACCACUGUGGAGAUCCCUUUGAGGAAGAUGGUGUGGUCAAUUUUCUCAAAUUAAUUAGUCAAGAACGUUGAGGAGAAACCUUUAUUUACCUUUGUCACAAUCACAUUGAGCAACGUUUUUGAUUUUGCGAAGAGCCAGAAAUGUAACAAGUGGGUUACAGGAAAAAAAACAGGCACAAUUUUGGCAGGGUGAACACAUUCAAGGGCCGUGGAGAGGACGGGAGACCAGAACUGGACACAGUACUACAGAAGAGGCCUCACCAAUGUCCUGCACAACCUCAUCAUGAUGUCAAAAUGCCUACAGUCAAAGAUCUGAGCAACAAAGGCAAGCAUGCUAAAUAACUUCUCAAUCACCCUCUCUAUCUGUAAUGCAAAUUUAAAAGAAUUAUCUAUGUGAACCCCUUGGUCUCUCUGUUCUACAAUAUUGCCAUUAAUUGUAUAAGUCCUGUCUUAAUGAAGGAAUGGCAGGUAUAGUUUGAAGUUAACGCAAGAGAAAGAACUUCCACUGGUGGCAAUUUCACACAUCUGCUGCCCAUGUCAUUGGAGGUGUUUGACAUUGUGGGUUUGUGAGGUGUUGGUGGAGGGACCCUGACAAGUUGUUUUAGACCAUUAUGCGCCUGGUCGGCUUUUGACACAGGGAACAAUUUUCUAAGAUGAUCGAUGGGGUGCCUUCCCAGUUAUUCUGCGAAUACCCACCUGUGACUUCCCUGCAAGACGUCCAGUGACCUGAAGAAUUGAACUGAAGCAUUUAUCGUAGGAUGUAAUCAAUAUAAAAUACAGUGAAAAGUGUGUACUAUCACCAUGCAUGAUGCUAUUCACAUUAACUUAAAAUACAACCGAAGAUAAAGAAUGAUAACUUAAAGAGAGUCCAAUUUUUCCUUCUCCGCUGCUACAGUCCUACUCCAGGCUACACACGCAAAUACGAGAUACACACGAGAUAUAGGCCAAAGGAAGGUAUAUGGAGUUGGGCCACAGAUCGGCCAUGAUGUCACUGAAUGGCGGAACAGGCUCUUGGGGCUGAAUGAUCUACUCCUCUUCCUAUAUUGCUAUGUCACAUCCUUUACUAACACGCCACAGUGACAGUUUAGGAUAUGAAGUCAAGCUCCAUGUGUGGCCAUCUGAUGCAUAAGCUGAGGCGUGAAUCACAUUGCCAACCCAAUAUACAUUCUGUCAUAAAACCUGACAGCUCUCUAAGGCUCUGUCUUCAGUCACUGAAGUGCCACAUUAAUGCAACUUGGAUGUUUUCUCAGGUUAAGUUUUAUGACUGAGCUGCUGAGUUUUAAUCUGCAUGUAACUAUAUUACAGU